UACGUAGGUGGCAAGCGUUUGUCCGGAAUUAUUGGGCGUAAAGAGCUCGUAGGCGGUCUGUCGCGUCUGCUGUGAAAACUCAGGGCUUAACCCUGAGCUUGCAGUGGGGUACGGGCAGACUAGAGUGCGGUAGGGGGAGACUGGAAUUCCUGGUGUAGCGGUGAAAUGCGCAGAUAUCAGGAGGAACACCGGUGGCGAAGGCGGGUCUCUGGGCCGUAACUGGACGCUGGAGGAGCGAAAGCAUGGGGAGCGAACAGG
rnacentral:rRNA from 1 species